rnacentral:rRNA from 1 species
UGCCGCCCGCCGCGCCCCGCGCCCGUCCCGCCGCCCCCGGCGGUGGCGGACGGGUGAGUAACGCGUGGGAAACCUGCCCUGUUCCGGGGGAUACCAGUUGGAAACGACUGUUAAUACCGCAUAAGCGCACAGCACCGCAUGGYGCAGUGUGAAAAACUCCGGUGGAACAGGAUGGUCCCGCGUCUGAUUAGGCAGUUGGCGGGGUAACGGCCUACCAAACCGACGAUCAGUAGCCGGCCUGAGAGGGUGAACGGCCACAUUGGGACUGAGACACGGCCCAAACUCCUACGGGAGGCAGCAGUGGGGAAUAUUGCACAAUGGGGGAAACCCUGAUGCAGCGACGCCGCGUGAGUGAAGAAGUAUUUCGGUAUGUAAAGCUCUAUCAGCAGGGAAGAAGAUGACGGUACCUGCAGAAGCAGCCCCGGCUAACUACGUGCCAGCAGCCGCGGUAAUACGA